rnacentral:misc_RNA from 1 species
GAUGAAGAACGUAGCGAAAUGCGAUAAGUAGUGUGAAUUGCAGAAUUCAGUGAAUCAUCGAAUCUUUGAACGCACAUUGCGCCCUUUGGCAUUCCGAAGGGCAUACCUGUUCGAGCGUCAUUUCAACCGUCAAGCCUGGCUUGGUGUUGGGCGUCUUGUCCCGCUAUGUGCGCGGACUCGCCUUAAAAGAAUCUGCGUCUGUAUGUUGGCCUGAUGCGUAGCACAAUUCGCAGACCAGGCAGGCGUACCGGCGGCCGGAAAGCACCUUUUUUUUUUGUUUGACCUCGGAUCAGGUAGGGAUACCCGCUGAACUUAAGCAUAUCAAUAAGCGGAGGA